GUAUAGAAUUAUAGAAUUAAAGCCAGGGCACCAUUGUUCAGAAGACACCUUGAACAAACCCUGCGCAACUCACUCCAGUAAAUGCUUCAGUUUAAUGUUUACAGGAGUCCAGAGAAAUGUCAGUUCUGCUUUAAAGGGACACUAUAGGCACCCAGACAACUUCAUCUCAUUGAAGUGGUCCUGGUGCAGUGUCCAUGUCUCACUUAGUCCUGCAAUGACAAUCCGAGUAGUGUUAAAGAAACUGCAAUAAUU